rnacentral:pre_miRNA from 1 species
AGCCUUCUGUGUCCGUGCUGAGAUUUCGUCACACAUCAGACCACAAGGGCUAAUGAGACUCCCAAGAGAAGUGAAGCA